rnacentral:lncRNA from 1 species
CCCACAUACUUUGCGCAAGAUCGGUUCCCAAAGAAGAAAAGUUUCUGAGCAAAUGAACAGAGACAAGUUUUGCAACUCGUUCCCACUGUUUGAUACUUUGCGCAAGGUCAUCAUUUCAAUGGUCUUGAUUUCCAUCAGUAGAGGGUAACCAUGUAGAUAUCAAAGCAUAUUACCUAAUUUACUAAUAACAUCCAAAACGUAUGAAAUGACACG